UUGAACGCUGGCGGCAGGCCUAACACAUGCAAGUCGAGCGGAUGAAGGGAGCUUGCUCCUGGAUUCAGCGGCGGACGGGUGAGUAAUGCCUAGGAAUCUGCCUGGUAGUGGGGGAUAACGUCCGGAAACGGGCGCUAAUACCGCAUACGUCCUGAGGGAGAAAGUGGGGGAUCUUCGGACCUCACGCUAUCAGAUGAGCCUAGGUCGGAUUAGCUAGUUGGUGGGGUAAAGGCCUACCAAGGCGACGAUCCGUAACUGGUCUGAGAGGAUGAUCAGUCACACUGGAACUGAGACACGGUCCAGACUCCUACGGGAGGCAGCAGUGGGGAAUAUUGGACAAUGGGCGAAAGCCUGAUCCAGCCAUGCCGCGUGUGUGAAGAAGGUCUUCGGAUUGUAAAGCACUUUAAGUUAGGAGGAAGGGCAGUAAGUUAAUACCUUGCUGUUUUGACGUUACCAACAGAAUAAGCACCGGCUAACUUCGUG
rnacentral:rRNA from 1 species